GGGUGCAUAGUAUACUGGUAGUAUAUCGGUCUCCAGAACCGAGGGAGGGGGUUCGAUUCCCCCUGCGCCCA
rnacentral:tRNA from 1 species